rnacentral:rRNA from 1 species
GUGAGGAAUUUUCCGCAAUGGGCGAAAGCCUGACGGAGCAAUGCCGCGUGAAGGAUGAAGGCCUAUGGGUUGUAAACUUCUUUUCUCAGAAAAGAAUUAUGACGGUAUCUGAGGAAUAAGCAUCGGCUAACUUUGUGCCAGCAGCCGCGGUAAGAAAGAGGAUGCAAGCGUUAUCCGGAAUGAUUGGUCGUAAAGCGUCUGUAGGUUGUUUAAAAAGUAUUCUGUAAAAGAUUAGGGCUUAACCCUAGAUAGGCAGAAUAAACUUUUAAGCUAGAGUUUGGUAGAGGCAGAGGGAAUUCCCGUUGGAGCGGUGAAAUGCGUAGAUAUCGGGAGGAACACCAAAGGCGAAGGCACUCUGCUGGGCCAAUACUAACACUGAGAGACGAAAGCGAGGGGAGCAAAUGGGAUUAGAUACCCUGGUAGUCC